GAUGAAGAACGUAGCGAAAUGCGAUAAGUAAUGUGAAUUGCAGAAUUCAGUGAAUCAUCGAAUCUUUGAACGCACCUUGCGCCCUUUGGCCAUUCCGAAGGGCAUGCCUGUUUGAGUAUCAUGAACACCUCAACUCUUCAUGGUUUUCCGUGAUGAGCUUGGACUUUGGGGGUCUUGCUGGCCUAUGGUCAGCUCCUCUAAAAUAAAUCAGCUUGCCAGUGUUUGGUGGGUAUCACAGGUGUGAUAACUAUCUACGCUUGUGGUUUUCCACCAGGUAACCUUCAGCAGUGGAGGUUCGCUGGAGCUCACAGAUGUGUCUCUCCUCAGUUAGGACAGCUCUUUGAAUGUUUGAUCUCAAAUCAGGUAGGACUACCCGCUGAACUUAAGCAUAUCAAUAAGCGGAGGA
rnacentral:misc_RNA from 1 species